rnacentral:tRNA from 1 species
GGGAGUGUAGCUUAAUGGGAAAGCACUCGAUUGAAGCUCGAGUUAGUGGAGGUUCGAUUCCUCCCACUCCCA